rnacentral:rRNA from 1 species
GACGAACGCUGGCGGCGUGCUUAACACAUGCAAGUCGAGCGGUAAGGCCCUUUCGGGGGGUACACGAGCGGCGAACGGGUGAGUAACACGUGGGUGACCUGCCCUCAGCUCUGGGAUAAGCCUGGGAAACCGGGUCUAAUACUGGAUAUGACUCCAUGACGCAUGUUGUGGGGUGGAAAGCCUUGUGCGGCUGAGGAUGGGCCCGCGGCCUAUCAGCUUGUUGGUGGGGUGANGGCCUACCAAGGCGACGACGGGUAGCCGGCCUGAGGAGGGCGACCGGCCACACUGGGACUGAGACACGGCCCAGACUCC